CGCCAAUAAUAGGAUUGGACGGGAUAAGGGCGGCCUAAUCAACGGCAAUGGUUGUCGUUCUUCAUUUAGAAAUUUAAUGUUCAAUUGUGGAAUUGUGCAAUUUUGUUCAGAUGAUGAAGAUGGAGGAACAAGUAAUGAAGUUAAAGGCGCCUAUUAGAGUAGACGACAUCCUCACAGUUUAUACCGGUUGUGUUAUUUUUCAAUCGGUAGCCGUUCAUCGUUUGGAAUGAUAGCAAAUCCUCAUGGUAGAUCUGCUCUACCUAUUGUAAUAAAAGAAAUGUUGAGAAGAAUGUGUUUUGGCUCCUAAUUUUUCUCCAAAUGAUUCAGAUAAAUUUCCAAUGGUGAAGAGAGUGUUGCAACCCACCAUUUCAUUAAACUGAUUGAAGCUAUUUAUAAUUAUACCCCAUUUGAUUCAAAUUGUUAUAUAUCUAUCAGUAGUCAUAUCACCAGUAAGGGAGGAUAUUUGAGGUGGUGGAUCCCUUGCUGUCGUGGGGGCUGCCAUUGGAAGUAUAGAUUUAUCAUGUUAAUUUGAUUAACCGCAGGUUCAAAACACUCUGCACCAUUGCGAAUUUGUCUGGAUCAUCUGGAGGAAAAUUUGGGAUGCACAACACUUUCUUUGUGCAUUUCUUGCAUUGCAGUAGGCCGGGCGGAUGCUAUGUUUUACUUUUCCAACCAAAAGACUCACAACGCGUGAAACAGUUGAAAGAACCCUGCAUUCUGGUUUCAGCUGUCGAAAUCACAGCGGUUGAGAGGAGAAAGGUAAUGAAAAACCAUGAGGUAAAGUAAAACAAAUUGCCAGGGAAUCCUUGCGUAGGAGCUUGCCUCAAAGUAAAAAAGUUCAGGUGCUUAUGGAUUUUUCUGCUGCUAUUUUAGUGGUUUAAAUGUCAGUAAUUUUUCUUCUGGGCUUUAUGGUAUGAAAUAUUCUUUGAAUGAGCUAAUAUAGCGGACUGAUAGAGUCGAGUAUAGACUGAUGUCGGGUAUAAACUUAUAGAGUGCUCGGGGUGGGUGGGAGGCUAUAGUUGCCACCUCGACAGCAACUUAAGUAGUAGGUUUACUCGCUUCUUCAUGAGCGGGUGCUCCAGCCGUCCUAUCUAUUCCGGCGAGGGGAUCAACAGGCGAUCCAACCUCCCGGUUCUUUAAAUCCUGUAGAAUGAUGGUUGACUCGCUCUUCUUCCCAGGGGACCUUUUAUAGUAUUCCUUUAGAGAGGGUGCCGACUCGCUUGCUGAUUCGAACAACGCAGCGAAACCAGGGGCUGCAGACCGGAGUACCCGCCUGAAUACUGACAGAAUGCAGAGCUAAUAUACCAAGAAGAUUUCUGUAAGCCAUUCAAGAAAUGAUUCAAGCAAAUCUGUAUAUGGGUGUACAGAUGGGGUUAAGAGAAAUAUGGGAUUAUCUCAUAUUUCUUGCAGACGUAUCUACACUACAAAUGAAAUUUAUAUAAUUUAUCUCCUCCUGAAAUUUGAAUUUAAUUUAUCUGCUUAUAAGAUUUGAACUUGGACCAAAUCUCCACAAAUUUUCCACCAUUACAUGCAACUCAGACCAUACAGAGCAUGCAGAUAAGAUUGUCAGGCUAUGUUCUUUAUUGCCUCACUUAUGACCAUGUUGGAAACCGACCUAUUCACCGACCUAUUCACCAACCUAUUCACCGCCAGUGGAAGACCGCCUUAUCUCCACCGCUUGAAGUUUGAUCUUAUCUUAUUUGGUUUCCUGACAACCUCUACAUCAAAUCAGAUUUAUCUGAUGCUCAGCUUGAUGUAUCUUGCAGUGCACUCCAAGAUUUAACCCUCACACUACAACUAUAAAGAAGUGUAUUGGAGCUAUUAGGAGAACUCUGCAGAAUCCCUAAAUCAAUGUAUUUCUAUUUUGAUCAAUACAUAUAAUUCUGCAGUAGUAGAUUUGGUA